rnacentral:misc_RNA from 1 species
GUCGGGCUUUACUAUGCUAAAAUUGGAAUUGGAACUCCUCCGAAGGAUUAUUAUGUUCAAGUUGAUACUGGGAGCGAUAUCGUGUGGGUGAAUUGUAUUCAGUGUAGGGAGUGUCCGAGGAAAAGCUCUCUUGGGAUGGAACUCACCCCUUAUGAUUUAGAGGAAUCCACGACCGGGAAAUUGGUUUCUUGUGAUGAGCAAUUUUGCUUGGAGGUGAAUGGGGGUCCACUUUCAGGCUGCACUACUAAUAUGUCCUGCCCAUAUCUUCAGAUAUAUGGUGACGGGAGCUCGACUGCAGGUUACUUUGUCAAGGACUACGUACAAUAUGAUCGGGUUUCUGGAGACCUUGAAACUACAGCUGCCAAUGGAAGUAUCAAGUUUGGAUGUGGUGCCAGACAAUCUGGGGAUCUUGGCUCAUCUGGUGAAGAAGCACUUGAUGGCAUACUUGGUUUUGGAAAAUCGAAUUCAUCUAUAAUUUCACAACUAGCCUCCUCAAGAAAAGUGAAGAAGAUGUUUGCUCAUUGCCUAGAUGGAAUAAAUGGGGGUGGUAUCUUUGCGAUAGGACAUGUUGUGCAGCCAAAAGUUAACAUGACUCCGUUGGUACCAAAUCAGCCACAUUACAAUGUCAAUAUGACGGGAGUACAAGUUGGUCGUGUCAUGUUAAAUAUUUCUGCCGAUGUAUUCGAGGCAGGAGACAGGAAAGGGACAAUUAUUGAUAGUGGCACAACCUUGGCAUAUCUUCCUGAACUGAUUUACGAGCCGUUAGUGACCAUGAUUCUCUCUCGGCAACACAAUUUGGAAGUUCAAACUAUUCAUGGAGAAUAUAAAUGUUUUCAGUACUCAGAGAGGGUCGACGAUGGAUUUCCUCCAGUUAUUUUCCAUUUCGAGAACUCACUCUUGUUGAAAGUUUAUCCUCACGAGUAUCUAUUCCAAUACGAGAGCUUGUGGUGUAUUGG